rnacentral:lncRNA from 1 species
CGCCGUUUUGCUUUUUUAUGCACAUAAAUAUAACAUGUAUAAUAAUUUGGUUCAUUGUAUUAUGUAUUUGAUGUGUUUGUUUUUAUAUAAGUUUUACAUGUCUCAUAAUAUAUAAUAUAAUAUAAUAAUAAUUUUGUUGUUAAUAAAAAUGCAUAUGGAUCAUAUAAUAUAUAAUUUAUAAUAUGUAACUAGUGUGUUAAAUAUAUAUAUAUAUAUAUUUCUAUUUUAUGUUAUAAUUUGAUUAUGUUUUCGGAUCGGAUCGUGUCAAUACGCCGUUUUCACAUAUACGUGUAUGAGGCGUGACAUUUGUGUU